rnacentral:rRNA from 1 species
UGAUUUAGCCUAAAUCCUUUGGGAUAAGGUAUCAAGGAGGGUGAGAAUCCCGUCUGGUUAGAUCAAGGUGCUUUACGAUACGUUUUCUAAGAGUCGAGUUGUUUGGGAAUGCAGCUCAAAAUGGGAGGUAAAUUUCUCCUAAGGCUAAAUAAAGGCGAGAGACCGAUAGCGAACAAGUACCGUGAGGGAAAGAUGAAAAGAACUUUGAAAAGAGAGUUAAACAGUACGUGAAAUUGUUGAAAGGGAAACGAUUGAAGUCAGUCGUACCGACGAGGAAUCAACCUUUUGAGAGUGGAUAUGUGGGAUUCAAAGUGCCUUUGUUUAUCGUAUCAUCUGCUUUUUUUGGGCGUACUUUUUCGUAUGGUAGGUUAACAUCGGUUUUGAUCGUUAUAAAAUGACUGGAGGAAUGUAGCUUUGAUCUUGUAUUGAAGUGUUAUAGCCUUUGGUAGAUGUAACGGUUAGGAUCGAGGAUUGCAAUGGAUACCCUCAUGGGCUAUCCGUCUGGCCUCUGAUUUGUCACUUUGGUGCUGAAAGCGUGCUUAUGGUAUUAAAGUGUAUGGUCAAAAGGUUAGAACGGAAUAAAUUCAUUAAGGAUGUUGACGUAAUGGCUUUAAACGACCCGUCUUGAAACACGGACCAAGGAGUCUAACAUAUAUGCGAGUGUUUGGGCGAAGAAGCCCUUACGCGUAAUAAACGUAAUUUAGGUGGGAUCCAUUUUAUUGGAGCACCAUCGGCC